rnacentral:rRNA from 1 species
UAGGGAAUAUUGCGCAAUGGGCGAAAGCCUGACGCAGCGACGCCGCGUGAGGGAUGACAGCCUUCGGGUUGUAAACCUCUUUUAGCAGGGACGAAGCGAAAGUGACGGUACCUGCAGAAUAAGCCCCGGCCAACUACGUGCCAGCAGCCGCGGUAAUACGUAGGGGGCAAGUGUUGUCCGGAUUCAUUGGGCGUAAAGAGCUCGUAGGCGGUUUGGCAAGUCGGCGGUGAAAGCCUGGGACUUAAUCCCGGGAGGUCCGUCGAUACUGCUAUGACUUGAGUUCGGUAGAGGAGUGUGGAACUCCUGGUGUAGCGGUGAAAUGCGCAGAUAUCAGGAAGAACACCGGUGGCGAAGGCGGCACUCUGGGCCGAUACUGACGCUGAGGCGCGAAAGCAUGGGGAGCGAACGGG